rnacentral:sRNA from 1 species
AAUGGCUCUGUUGUUAAGAGUUAUUGAAAGCAUCAAGUAAAAGUAAAACCCUCAGAAUUCCCGCUUAAUCGUUGUUAUUCAUCAGUGUUUCCCUUAGCUUCUCGCAUCGUAAAUAAUUCGUCUCCUCAGCGCAAAAAAAAUAAUUUAAUUAAAAGGGACGUAUUAUGUCUAAUAAAAGCACUGGUUCAGUAAAAUGGUUUAACGAAGAAAAAGGCUUUGGCUUUAUCUCUCAGGAUAACGGCGGCGAAGAUGUGUUUGUACACUUCCGUGCCAUCAUUUCCGAUGGGUUCAAGACCUUGCAAGAAGGGCAGAAGGUGUCAUUCAACAUCGAAAGCAGCCCUAAAGGCCCACAAGCCGCUGAUGUCUCUCCUAUCUAACUUAAUACUUUAGAUAGAAUUAAAAAGGCGAGUUAAGGCUCGCUUUUUUAU